rnacentral:misc_RNA from 1 species
UUUUCGCUAUUUCAAUAGUAUAUUUCUUCAGACACGGUUUUUAAAGCAAGAUUCUUAUGAUCCUCUGGCGGGGGCACGCUAGCCCCGGGCGAAGGGGACCAGCGGGACCAUUUCUGGCCACGCCCCGCCAAAGCAACUCAAGGUACGUUCACAAAGGGUGGGAGGUCUGGGGGCCAAAAAAGGCACCCCGGGCUCUCUUUUAAUGAUCCUUCCGCAGGUUCACCUACGGAAA